UACGUAGGGACCAAGCGUUGUUCGGAUUUACUGGGCGGAAAGGGCGCGUAGGCGGCAAUUCAAGUCAUCUGUGAAAUCUCCGGGCUUAACUCGGAACGGUCAGAUGAUACUGCUUUGCUCGAGUGCGGAAGGGGCAAUCGGAAUUCUUGGUGUAGCGGUGAAAUGCGUAGAUAUCAAGAGGAACACCUGAGGUGAAGACGGGUUGCUGGGCCGACACUGACGCUGAAGCGCGAAAGCCAGGGGAGCAAACGGG
rnacentral:rRNA from 1 species